rnacentral:rRNA from 1 species
GACGAACGCUGGCGGCGUGCUUAACACAUGCAAGUCGAACGGAAAGGCCCUGCUUUUGUGGGGUGCUCGAGUGGCGAACGGGUGAGUAACACGUGAGUAACCUGCCCUUGACUUUGGGAUAACUUCAGGAAACUGGGGCUAAUACCGGAUAGGAGCUCCUGCUGCAUGGUGGGGGUUGGAAAGUUUCGGCGGUUGGGGAUGGACUCGCGGCUUAUCAGCUUGUUGGUGGGGUAGUGGCUUACCAAGGCUUUGACGGGUAGCCGGCCUGAGAGGGUGACCGGCCACAUUGGGACUGAGAUACGGCCCAGACUCCUACGGGAGGCAGCAGUGGGGAAUAUUGCAAAAUGGGCGGAAGCCUGAUGCAGCAACGCCGCGUGCGGGAUGACGGCCUUCGGGUUGUAAACCGCUUUCGCCUGUGACGAAGCGUGAGUGACGGUAAUGGGUAAAGAAGCACCGGCUAACACGUG